GAAACGAAUCUUUUAAGUCUAAUU
rnacentral:miRNA from 1 species